rnacentral:tRNA from 1 species
AGACCUCUUACUUUUAAAGGAUAACAGUAAUCCACUGGUC